rnacentral:tRNA from 1 species
GGAGGUAUAGCUCAGUGGUAGAGCACUUUCCUAGCUUGUGAAAUCCUAGGUUUAAAUUCUAGCACCACCA